rnacentral:tRNA from 1 species
GUCCCCAUCGUCUAGCCUGGCCUAGGACACUGCCCUUUCACGGCGGCAACAGGGGUUCGAAUCCCCUUGGGGACG